AGACUUUGAUCCUGGUCUCAGGACGAACGCUGGCGGCGUGCCUAACACAUGCAAGUCGAGGCGAAGCGCUUAAAAUAGCUUGCUAUUUUUUGUGACUGAGCGGCGAACGGGUGAGUAACACGUGGGUAAUCUGCCUGGUAGACUGGGAUAACAGUUGGAAACGGCUGCUAAUACCGGAUGAUAUUUAGCCAGUAGAAGGUUAAAUCAAAGCGUUAUGUAGCGCUAUCAGAUGAGCCCGCGUCCCAUUAGUUAGUUGGUGGGGUAAUGGCGUACCAAGGCGACGAUGGGUAGCCGGUCUGAGAGGAUGGACGGCCACACUGGGAGCUGAGACACGGCCCAGACUCCUACGGGAGGCAGCAGUGGGGAAUUUUGCGCAAUGGGGGCAACCCUGACGCAGCGACGCCGUCGUGAGCGAAGAAGGCUUCGGGUUGUAAAGUCUCUGUCUAGGGGGG
rnacentral:rRNA from 1 species